rnacentral:lncRNA from 1 species
GUUUAUUGAAAAUAUUACAACAUUUCAGAAAGAUUCAAACAGUUCCAUGUGGCGAAUAGUCCAAUCUCCAGGUGACUUGCCUACAGUUGGGAUGAAUUUCCCAAAGUCCAAAAGCUUCAGCAUUUCUCCAGUGUCAAGAUCUAUUUCAGCGAUCUCCUGAUCCAAGGCUGAGACCUCAGGAGCAUGAUUAUCUCUCCUUUCUCUCUUCUCCUCCUGCAUCUUGAUGGAAAUACCUUUUACUGGGCCCCUAUGAAUCGGCUUCUUCAGAUGCAUGACUCAGCCCGCUAUCUUGUUGUAGAGUUUCUUGCUGAGGAUAAUGACAGUCUCCACCCACAUGCUUGUUCAUGUGGAAAUCAUUACCCAGGAUCAUACUGUGCUUUCUUUGAUUCACCUGUAUAUCUAGCAGCUGUGUAAAAGAGCUUCGACUUCCAGGGAGAUGGCCCUGGACACAGGAAAAGAUAUGCUUCGCAUUUUGGCAGUCAGCUGCCUACAUACUUGCAUAAUUGUCUUUGCCUCUACACAGUUCGAAAGAUGCAAAUAAGGUCCCAGUCUUGAGAAUUUAGAUGUAGCUUCAACUUAGGUAUUCACUCACAUGACUGGGCUUCUCCAUAUGGACUUAGCCACAUCUUGAAAACAGCCAUUUCUUCUGGUUUCCACCAAAUGGAACAGGAAAUAGCUGCGUUCUUCUACCUCCACCCCAGUACCUCUACUUUAAUUCAUUCAGGGUACAACUGGGCUCUAGGAGUUUUCAAGCAGAUGGUCUGAUGAACUGAAGCAAUACAAAUAGCAAUCCACACAAGAGUUUACAGUUGGAAAGGACCUUAACUUUCAGAUGAGCUGUAGUUUUGAGAGCUUGAAGAGGUCCAGUUUCCUCAUUUUGUGUAAGAAAGCUGAGGUCCCCCCAAAAAAAAAUCUUUUGUGAACAAACUGAAUGGUGCUUAGCCACUGCUGUAAACCUGUAGCACAGUAGCAGAGUCAUACACAUAUGUACAUAGAGAUAGGAGAGAGAGGGGGGUGAGAAUCCGCAACCAACAGUAAAAUGCACAGAUAAUAAGUACUUUAUUAAUUUGAUGAGCGUUAACAAAUGCAUAUGAACAUUAACCUAUGUUCCUAUCAAGAUAUAGAAGAGUUCUAUUAGCUUAGAAAAGCUGUCUUGUGCCCCUUUGAAGUAAAUCUCCCUCUGCUCUCACCCAGGCAAUCACUGAUCUUAUUUCUAACAACAUGGAUUAGAUUUUUAUGUUCCAGAGCUUGACAUAAAUGGGACAGUAUAGUAUGUACACUUUUACAUAUGACUUCUUUCACUCAGUAUAAUGUUUUUAAGAUUCAUUUAUGUUGUUGACACCAAAAGUCAUUUCUCCUUUGCUGAGUAGUAUGCUACUCUAUAAAUGUACCACACUCUGUUCAUCUAUUGUCUUGAUAAUGAAUAUUUGAGUUGUUUUCAGAUUUGGGCUAUAAACAUUCAUGCACAGGUCUUUCUGUAUAAUAUGUUUUCAUUUCUCUUUGACUUCUACCUACAAGUGGACAUAGAGUAGGUAUAUGUUUAAAUUUAUGAGAAUAUGGCAGAUUGUUUUUCAAAGUGAUUGCACCACUUUACACUCCUGCUAGUUCCAAAACUUGGUCAACGUUUGAUGUCAUAAGUUUUUUUAAUUUUAUCAUACAAAUGGAUGUGUAGUGGUAUUUCAUUGUGGUUUUAAUUUGCAUUUCUCUGAUGACUAAUGAUAUUGAACAAUUUUUCAUGUGCGUAUUAACCAUUCAAAUAUCUGCCUUUGUGAAGUGUCUAUUCAAGUCUUCUGCUCAUUUGUAAAUCCGGUUGCCUGUAUUAUCAAAUUGUAGGCAUUCUUUAUAUAUUCUGGAUAUCAGUCAUUUGUCAAAUAUAUAUAUUACAAAUAUUGUUUCCUUGUCUGUAAAUUCACUAUUCAUUUUCUUAACAAUGAUCUUAAGAGGUUUGAUCUUCUAAUAACCAAAACUGCUCAAUUUGAAAAAGUUCCAUUUGUCAUGGUUUUGUUCUUUAUAGCUACUGCUUUCUGGGUCCAUCUAAGAAAUUAACACUAAUUAAAGAUUGCAAAAAUUUUUCCUAUCUUUUUUCUAAAUAGUGUUUCUCAACCUUUUAUCCAUGUGAUUUUUGAAAAACAAACAGAGCAAAACAGCAACAAAAACCUUGCAUUAAUUUCCUAGGGUUGCCAUAACAAAAUUACAAACUGUUUGGCUUAAAACGACAGAAAUAUAUUCUCUCAUAGUUCUGGAGGCCAGAUCCAAAAUUAAGACGUCAGCAGAGCAGAGCCAUGCUCUCUUUGACAGCUCUAGAGGGGGAUCCUACCGUACCUCUUCAUAGCUUCUGUUGGUUUAUCAGGAAUCCUUGGUGCUCCUUGGAUCAUAGAAGCUUCACUCCAGUUUCUGUGUCCAUCUUCAUGUGGCCUUCUCCCCAUAUGUCUGUGCCUGUGUCAUUUUACUUUUUUUAUAAAGACAUUAGUCGUAUUGAAUUAGGAGCCCACCUUACUCCAAUAUAAUCACAUCUUAACUUACACCUUAAUUAUAUCUGCAAAGAUCCUAUUUCCAAAUAGGGUCACAUUCACAGGUACCAGGAUUAGGACUUCAACACAUUAAAAAAAAAAAUCAACCCAUGUAUUAUUCAAAAAUCAUUCACAAAUAAAUCUUCUCUAGAUGUUUUUUUCCUGAUCACCCUAACAUGAAAUGUAAAUACCACAGAUUGACUGUAUAUCUGUUUAUGUACUAUAGUUCUUUUGAGAGCCACUAACUAUAGUAAUACUAUAGUAUUACUAUAUAAAUACUAUAUAAAUGUAUAUUAUAUAUC